rnacentral:rRNA from 1 species
AGAGUUUGAUCCUGGCUCAGGAUGAACGCUGGCGGCGUGCCUAAUACAUGCAAGUCGAGCGAAGUUUUUCUGGUGCUUGCACCGGAAAAACUUAGCGGCGAACGGGUGAGUAACACGUAAAGAACCUGCCUCAUAGACUGGGACAACUAUUGGAAACGAUAGCUAAUACCGGAUAACAGCAUUAACUGCAUGGUUGAUGUUUAAAAGUUGGUUUUGCUAACACUAUGAGAUGGCUUUGCGGUGCAUUAGCUAGUUGGUGGGGUAAAGGCCUACCAAGGCGACGAUGCAUAGCCGACCUGAGAGGGUGAUCGGCCACACUGGGACUGAGACACGGCCCAGACUCCUACGGGAGGCAGCAGUAGGGAAUCUUCCGCAAUGGGCGAAAGCCUGACGGAGCAACGCCGCGUGAGUGAAGAAGGAUUUCGGUUCGUAAAGCUCUGUUGUUAGGGAAGAAUGAUUGUGUAGUAACUAUACGCAGUAGAGACGGUACCUAACCAGAAAGCCACGGCUAACUACGUGCCAGCAGCCGCGGUAAUACGUAGGUGGCAAGCGUUGUCCGGAAUUAUUGGGCGUAAAGCGCGCGCAGGUGGUUUAAUAAGUCUGAUGUGAAAGCCCACGGCUCAACCGUGGAGGGUCAUUGGAAACUGUUAAACUUGAGUGCAGGAGAGAAAAGUGGAAUUCCUAGUGUAGCGGUGAAAUGCGUAGAGAUUAGGAGGAACACCAGUGGCGAAGGCGGCUUUUUGGCCUGUAACUGACACUGAGGCGCGAAAGCGUGGGGAGCAAACCAGGAUUAGAUACCCUGGUAGUCCACGCCGUAAACGAUGAGUGAUAAGUGUUGGUCUCAUAAGAGAUCAGUGCUGCAGCUAACGCAUUAAGCACUCCGCCUGGGGAGUACGACCGCAAGGUUGAAGCUCAAAGGAAUUGACGGGGACCCGCACAAGCGGUGGAGCAUGUGGUUUAAUUCGAAGCAACGCGAAGAACCUUACCAAGUCUUGACAUACUGUGAGGACACAAGAGAUUGUGUUGUUCUGACCUUUGGUUAGACACAGAUACAGGUGGUGCAUGGUUGUCGUCAGCUCGUGUCGUGAGAUGUUGGGUUAAGUCCCGCAACGAGCGCAACCCUUAUAUCUAGUUGCCAGCAGUAAGAUGGGGGCUCUAGAUAGACUGCCAGUGAUAAACUGGAGGAAGGUGGGGAUGACGUCAAAUCAUCAUGCCCCUUAUGACUUGGGCUACACACGUGCUACAAUGGAUAGGAACAAAGAGAAGCGAGCUCGCGAGAGUAAGCAAACCUCACAAAACUAUUCUCAGUUCGGAUUGUAGUCUGCAACUCGACUACAUGAAGCUGGAAUCGCUAGUAAUCGCGAAUCAGAAUGUCGCGGUGAAUACGUUCCCGGGUCUUGCACUCACCGCCCGUCA